ACACGGAGCGGAGGAUGCCAUGGGAGCCGAUGUCGCGUUUAAAAGCCGAGGGUCGUUAUUCUAAGGGCUAACCCAUCACCCCGCGGCGGGUCCUGCGCCCCCCGGAGCCGGGCGCGGAGGAGCAGCCCCUGCAGUACCGCACCUGGGCACAGCAGGGUGUGCGAGCCGCACACUCCCGGCCCUCCUCUCCUCCCUCCCUCCCCCGCUCCCAGCCUGCCGUAGAUCUUGUGCCAUGCCUUCAGCAGCAUGAGAUCAUGGGUGCGGGUAGCGGAUGCGUGAAAGCGAGAGGGCGAGCGGUGGGCGUGAGAAUGGGGUGGGUUUUUUUUUAAAAUACAUUUCGCGUUAAUUUAAGCGAGAACCGCUGCAAUUCGCCGAGGCGCUAAUUCCCGCGGGUGAGAAGUCACAACCUUUGCUCAGCUGCGUAGGCUGAGGAACGACAAAGGGUUUCGCCCCGCUCAGCCCAGGGCGGAUCGCUUCCCCCGGCCAGGGAAAGCUUCGCCGCGGGGUCGUGCCGGGGGCCGCGCACAGCGACGGAAGGAGUCCGAACCCCCGGAGCAGCGGCGAGCCAGCGGCAGCUCCUGCCCUGCCCACCUGGACGCGUCGCAUCCAGCCUCGCCACGCACACAAAGUUUUGCCAAGACGCCGAGGUAAAUGAUAACAAAGCCUUAACGCAGUGAGCAGCGCUGCCCGAGCCCUUUCUGCUCUCUGUGGAAGGGCAGGCGCGCAUCCCGAAGGAAGCCCGCACCCGCCCUGGCCCGGGGGAGCGGCCCUGCGAGGCACAGGCCGCCCUGUAACACCCCCGGCUUGCCAGAGGGAAAGGCAGCUUAGGGGGAGUCAGUUUUCCAACCUGUCUCCAAAAGCCUCCGCGUGAGAGAAGAAACACCAAUUUUCCAAACUACCAGCUUUCAACUGUCAUGCACUGUCACCUCCUAAAAAAAUAAAAGGCAAUAAAUUCUCUAAGUUUCAGAGUUAGGGAAAGAAGGAGAAAAUGGUAUGAAACCUUAAAGAAAAGUCAGCCUGGAUUCGACAGCUCUCAUAAAAUUAAAACUGCUGAUAUAUGUUUCCUAUUCAUGCAAGUAAUGUGUGUUAGAAAUUUCAUCCAUAAAUACCACUAGGUUUUCUAUCAAUCUGACUAAGGAAACAAAAUAUUUCAGUCACUGGAACCAGUUUUUCAUUAAACUGUUCACAUGUUGCUGCUGUUUUAGAAACAGGCAGUAGUUAACUUGACUGUUCUUAAUGAUUCUAGACAUCCUACAGACAAGGAACUUUAAAAUUGUUAUCACUCCUCUGAAAUAGGAAGCCGGUAUUGCCAACUGUAUAAUGAUACAAUUGGCAAGGCAGUUGUGCCGAUAAAAUUUCAGUUGGCAAGUCCUGUCUAGACUAACUUUGCUCGGCUGUGCUGUUUUAAGGUUGCCGUCGAGGUUGUGCUACCUUCCAGCAGGAGUUUCCCUGUCAACACUCAGGAAAGCAUGGCUACAUUAGGUGUGUAACCUUGCUGAGAGAGGUUUUCCACAGGUCCCUUCCAGCCCGAGCAGAGUUUGUUCAGCUUUGCUUGAAGAUCCACUUUGGUGUGGAUUCAGAAGGGGUUUGUGGAAGCACUCUGUGUUGUUGGAUACUUUUGUGGUUUGAGUACUUUAAUCUAAAUUCUUGCUCCAUCUGCCAUCUACUGUGCCAGGGAGGCCUAAAAGUGCUUAAAAAAGAAGGACAAAUGAAUAAAAUGUUUAGGUACUUCCAAGGCACUUCAUUUAAUAUUUUGCUGAAGAUAAAAGGGGUUUUUAAGUGCUCUACUUUAUUAAAUAUGUACUAUUUAUGCAGCACACAUAUACAACUGCCACUAAAGUUUCUAGCUUCAAUGUGUGCCUGGAGACUACUUAGUGAAGUUCAUCAGAUAGAUUAUAAUGGGUCAUUUUUAGGUGCUACAUUAUGAUAUUAAACACUACUUAGGGACUGUUAAAUAAAUGGAUUGUUUUGCUGCUGCACAUCCAAACCAAGAGUUGAGUACGCAAAGGCCAAAUCUUCUCAAAACUAUUUAGGCAUCUAACUCUUACUUAAGAGCCCUAUUAAAGUGUGAAUGGGGUGACUGCCCUCUAAGUAGGCAUCUCUUUCUGGAUCUGGUAAUGUGAUCAGCACCUUGGGUGUAGCAACUCUAAUUUUAACAACAUUUGAGAUUUUUCUGGCUCUGCACUUUGAACCACAAACAAGAGAGGACUAUCCAAGUUUCAUGGGGGGGAAAGGUGAUCUAAUGCUGUGCAAGGGUGAGAAAUUGGAGAGAAUUAAUUAGCAGAAAAUAUUAAAAGAUUGAAAAUGAAAAGAAUACCAGGAAGGCGAAGAAGGAAGUAUGUAUGAAAGCAAGAUGGAGACAGGAAGGCAAAAGAGGGACAUUCAGGUAAAAUCUUCUCUUGCUCAAUUUUUUAUUUUUUUGUGUUUUCAGCAAGCUAAUAAAACUUCUUCCCAAUUUGAAGCAAAUCCUGGUAGUCAGACACUUACACUUUUUGCAUGUUUUGAUUUAAAGAAGGUUGUAGGUGAGUGUUGGUCUCUUUCCUCAAGUACAGAGUGACAGAACAAGAAGAAAUGGCCUCAGGUCAUGACAGGGAAAAUUCAGAUUGGAUAUCUGGUAGAACUUCUACAAGUCUUGUCAAGCAUUGGAACAGGCUGCCCAGCGGGAACAGGCUGUCCAGGGAAAUGGUGAAUUAAUAAUUCCUAGAAGUAUUUAAAAGUCCUGUAGAGAUUCAAAUUAGACAUUGGGAAGAAAUUCUUUAUUGUGAGGGUUGGAGAGGCACUGGAACAGCUUGUCCAGAGGAGCUGUGGAUGCCCCAUUCCUGGAAGUGCUCAAGGCCAGGCUGGAUGGAGCUCUGAGCAAUGUGGUCAAGAGGAAGAUAUCCAUGUCCAUGGCAGCGGGAUUGGAACAGAAUCAUAAUUAAGGUCCCUUUCAACCCAAACCAUUCCAGGUUUCUAUAUGGCACUGAGGGACAUGAGUCAGUGGCCUUGACAGUUCUAGGUUAAUGGGGAUCUUAGAGUCUCUUCCAACCUAAAUGGUCCCAUGAUUCUGUGAUUCUAUUCCAGAAGUUUAAUUGGGUGUUUUGGCAGCUGGAGUUAGGCUUUUUAAUGACAAGGAAGUUAAAAGCUUCUGCAAGUAAAUACUAUGAAAAAUGAAGGUCAUAGAAUUGUACUUCCAACACAAUCAACAUGCUGCUAUCAGUCUGUGAAGGUUCACUCAAAGAACAAAGAAGUGGAACAAAAGAAGACAAUAAAAAAGACUUUGUGUAAAUAAAUAAAUGUUCCACUACAUAGAAAAUAAAAUGUGAAAAUGAA